rnacentral:rRNA from 1 species
AGGAUUAACGCUGGCGGCGUGCAUGAAACAUGCAAGUCGAGCGCGGUGUGAUGCGGGGUAACCCAAUUCACAUCUAGCGGCGAACGGGUGAGUAACACGUGAGCAACCUACCUUUGAGUUGGGGAUAGCCCUGGGAAACCAGGAUUAAUACCCGAUGUGGUCACAACAGGACAUCCUGAUGUGAGUAAAGGCGCAAGCCGCUCAAUGACGGGCUCGCGGCCUAUUAGCUUGUUGGUGGGGUAACGGCCUACCAAGGCGAUGAUGGGUAGCUGGUCUGAGAGGACGAUCAGCCACACUGGGACUGAGACACGGCCCAGACUCCUACGGGAGGCAGCAGUUAGGAAUUUUCCGCAAUGGGCGAAAGCCUGACGGAGCAACGCCGCGUGAGUGAUGAAGACCUUAGGGUUGUAAAGCUCUGUCGGAGGGGAAGAACACAAUGACGGUACCCUCCAAGAAGCCCGGCUAACUACGCGCCAGCAGCCGCGGUAAU